rnacentral:rRNA from 1 species
UACGAAGGGGGCUAGCGUUGCUCGGAAUGACUGGGCGUAAAGGGCGCGUAGGCGGUUCAUACAGUCAGAUGUGAAAUUCCUGGGCUCAACCUGGGGGCUGCAUUUGAUACGUGUGGACUAGAGUGGGGAAGAGGGUCGUGGAAUUCCCAGUGUAGAGGUGAAAUUCGUAGAUAUUGGGAAGAACACCGGUGGCGAAGGCGGCGCUCUGGACCGAGACUGACGCUGAGGCGCGAAAGCGUGGGGAGCAAACAGG